rnacentral:rRNA from 1 species
AAUGAACGCUGGCGGCAUGCCUAACACAUGCAAGUCGAACGAAGGCUUCGGCCUUAGUGGCGCACGGGUGCGUAACGCGUGGGAAUCUGCCCUUGGGUUCGGAAUAACGGUUAGAAAUGACUGCUAAUACCGGAUGAUGUCGUAAGACCAAAGAUUUAUCGCCCAAGGAUGAGCCCGCGUAGGAUUAGCUAGUUGGUGGGGUAAAGGCCUACCAAGGCGACGAUCCUUAGCUGGUCUGAGAGGAUGAUCAGCCACACUGGGACUGAGACACGGCCCAGACUCCUACGGGAGGCAGCAGUGGGGAAUAUUGGACAAUGGGCGAAAGCCUGAUCCAGCAAUGCCGCGUGAGUGAUGAAGGCCUUAGGGUUGUAAAGCUCUUUUACCCGGGAUGAUAAUGACAGUACCGGGAGAAUAAGCUCCGGCUAACUUCGUG